rnacentral:rRNA from 1 species
GAUGAACGCUGGCGGCGUGCCUAAUACAUGCAAGUCGAGCGAACAGACGAGGAGCUUACUCCUCUGACGUUAGCGGCGGACGGGUGAGUAACACGUGGAUAACCUACCUAUAAGACUGGGAUAACUUCGGGAAACCGGAGCUAAUACCGGAUAAUAUAUUGAACCGCAUGGUUCAAUAGUGAAAGACGGUUUUGCUGUCACUUAUAGAUGGAUCCGCGCCGCAUUAGCUAGUUGGUAAGGUAACGGCUUACCAAGGCGACGAUGCGUAGCCGACCUGAGAGGGUGAUCGGCCACACUGGAACUGAGACACGGUCCAGACUCCUACGGGAGGCAGCAGUAGGGAAUCUUCCGCAAUGGGCGAAAGCCUGACGGAGCAACGCCGCGUGAGUGAUGAAGGUCUUCGGAUCGUAAAUCUCUGUUAUUAGGGAAGAACAAAUGUGUAAGUAACUAUGCACGUCUUGACGGUACCUAAUCAGAAAGCCACGGCUAACUACGUG